GCCAUGCAUGUCUAAGUAUAAAUUCUUGUACGAUGAAACUGCAGACGGCUCAUUACAACAGUGAUAAACUGCUAGACUUUCGGGUUUUUAACCUUUUGGAUAACCGCAGUAAAUCGGGGCUAAUACAUAGAAGCGAUGGGUGACUGGCAACGGAAGCUCAGCGAUUAUUAGCAUUACUACCAAUACCUUCGGGUCUUGUGGUGAAACCGAAUAAUAUUGCAGAUCGAGGAUUUAUCUUCGACAAGUCUACUGUGUCACUGCCCUAUCAACUUUCGAUGGUACGGUAUUGGCCUACCAUGGUUGUAACGGGUAACGGGGAAUUAGGGUUCGAUUCCGGAGAGGGAGCCUGAGAAAUGGCUACCACUUCUACGGAAGGCAGCAGGCGCGCAAAUUACUCAAUCCCAAUACGGGGAAGUAGUGACAAUAAAUAUCAAUACCUAUCCUUUUUGGAGGGCAAUUGAAAUGAACACAAAUUAAAACUCUUAAUUAACACAAUUGGAGGGCAAGUCUGGUGCCAGCAGCCGCGGUAAUUCCAGCUCCAAUAGCAUAUACUAAAGUUGUUGCAGUUAAAAAGCUCGUAGUUGAAGUUAAAGUUAUAUUGGGCUAAAGUUUUUUACCACUAUGUGGCUAAAAUAACUCCAAUAUUUCUUUUUUUAAUAGCUCAGUUUCUAGGUCUUUGACUCUAGUUAUUUGGGCAUUUCACUGUGAGAAAAUUGUGGUGUUUAAAGCAGGCGUCUCGUCUGAUCUUUUGCAGCAUGGUAUGAUGGAACAUGACAUUUUACG
rnacentral:rRNA from 1 species